rnacentral:rRNA from 1 species
GACGAACUGUGCGAACGUUGUUCGGAAUCACUGGGCUUAAAGGGUGCGUAGGCGGCUUGUUAAGUCGGGGGUGAAAUACUUCGGCUCAACCGGAGAAUUGCCUUCGAUACUGGCGAGCUGGAGGAAGGUAGGGGUCGCGGGAACUGCCAGUGGAGCGGUGAAAUGCGUUGAUAUUGGCAGGAACGCCGGUGGUGAAGACGCGCGGCUGGACCUUUUCUGACGCUGAGGCACGAAAGCCAGGGGAGCAAACGGG